CAGGGAGACAACAAAAUGUUUAAUAUUAUUAUUUUGUCACCUUAGGUCGAUCGGUAUCUCACGUUUUUAAUUUAUUAAGAAUUUCAUUUCCUAAGUUUUUCUAGGUCACACCCAUUAUUUUUCCUGGGCCAUUAGCUCAGGUGGUUAGAGCGCACCCCUGAUAAGGGUGAGGUCCCUGGUUCAAGUCCAGGAUGGCCCAUAUCUCUAUGUUGGGGGUAUAGCUCAGUUGGUAGAGCGCCUGCUUUGCAAGCAGGAUGUCAGCGGUUCGAGUCCGCUUACCUCCACUGAUUACCACCUCUUCCAUAACCGGUAGAAAGGAAAUGUUUUGAGUUGUGAUCAAAUUCUGAAAGAAUCUAGCUUCCUAAUGAAAUCAUUAAGAUGCUGGACUCAUUGAAUUAAUUUCUUUGUUUUCAGAGAACCUUGACAACUGCAUAGAUUAUUUUUAAAGACAAUAAGCAUCUUUAAUGAUGCAGAUUUAUUAUUUGUGCGAAUGCAUUAAUAACAAUUCUAUUAAGCUGAUGCUUCAAUUUUUGAAGUUAUUG
rnacentral:tRNA from 1 species